rnacentral:rRNA from 1 species
AACGGACGCUGGCGGCAUGCCUAACACAUGCAAGUCGAACGAGACCUUCGGGUCUAGUGGCGCACGGGUGCGUAACACGUGGGAACCUGCCCUUAGGUUCGGAAUAACUCCCCGAAAGGGGUGCUAAUACCGGAUAAUGUCUUCGGACCAAAGAUUUAUCGCCUUUGGAUGGGCCCGCGUUGGAUUAGCUAGUUGGUAGGGUAAAAGCCUACCAAGGCGACGAUCCAUAGCUGGUCUGAGAGGAUGAUCAGCCACACUGGGACUGAGACACGGCCCAGACUCCUACGGGAGGCAGCAGUGGGGAAUAUUGGACAAUGGGCGAAAGCCUGAUCCAGCAAUGCCGCGUGAGUGAUGAAGGCCUUAGGGUUGUAAAGCUCUUUUACCCGGGAUGAUAAUGACAGUACCGGGAGAAUAAGCUCCGGCUAACUCCGUG